CAGAAACGACGUCGUCAAAGUCCAUUUCAUCGGAGUUACAGAUGAAGCAGGAGGGGUUCUUCUGCAAAACGUAGGAAACCUUGACUGGGUAAGAAAAUUCUUCUAAUCUCCCGUCCUGGAGGAUAAGCUUAGCGGUGGCCACAGAGGUGGCAUCGCAGGAACUGCAAAUACCCAUGUGGUUCGGAGUAAAAUUGGAUUACCCGGGCUAAAGGGUUGGAGUCNNNNNNNNNNNNNNNNNNNNNNNNNNNNNNNNNNNNNNNNNNNNNNNNNNNNNNNNNNNNNNNNNNNNNNNNNNNNNNNNNNNNNNNNNNNNNNNNNNNNGUUAAGUUUGAGAGCUUCCAAUAGGGGAAAUUUUGGAAUUUCUUGAAUCUAGUCUUUUUAAGGCAUGAAGUUUUUGUGUCUCUGUUUGUAAUUUGCAGAAUUUUUCUUUUUGGGUUUUCAAAGUUUUGUCUUCUGAUAAUUUUUUUGCAAUUAAUCCAGUAAAUAGUUGCUUUUCAAUGUAGAUUAUGUAAUUUGAAACCUUGUGGAUGUGGUUUUGGGGAAGUACUAACUUAAGGGCCUCCUUAUGGAAAGAAAGUGCACGGAUGACUUUCCCUCUCUCAGCUUCUUCUCCUUCUUAAAAACUUAAGUUGCAGAAAAUAUCUUUUAGCUUGACCUUUUGCUUAAGUGGCCAAGAGAUGCAAUGAAAAACUUCACAUCUCGCCCAACUGAUUCUUGUGUUUGGUUUUAUGCAAUGACAGCUAUCCUGAUAAGAGAAGAGUUGAAGAAGGUAACCUAGAUGGUUCUCUUGAAGCCUCUCACUGUCUAAAGUUGGUAAGAAUCACUUAAUUCCACCUUUACAUACGAGUGUAAUUCACCAAAAAAGGGAAAAGUUCCAACAUUAUGCUCAUGUAAUCUAAUUGAGCAGAAUGUGAGUUAAUACGCUUCCUUCUCCCUCCCUUUUCUUGUUCUUAUUCUUUUUCUUUUUCUCUCUUUUUCUUCUAUCAAUCCAUGUAGUCGUCCAUAGUCUUACAGCCGUUUAACAUAUAUCCAUAGUAAUUUAGAAUGAAUUUCCUUAAAAUGAUUUCAGCAAUGUCUUAGUGUUCAACCCUUUUUUUGUCUGGUCCCAGGAUAUGGGACACUUGACAGACUGUGUCAAACCCAAGAAGAAACAAUCCCCUAAUACCGAUAUGCAAAAUUCUUUGAAGCAAGAGGUAUGGAAUUAAACUUAUCUUAAAUGCAGUCCAAUUUCUUGCUCAUGGUUCAAUUAAGUGUUGUCUGGUGAUAAGGGUCCAGAUUUCGGGUUUUUAUAUUUAUGGUUUCUAAAUCAUUAAAAGAAAAAUAAAAAUUGCAGAUCCUACAACUUGAGAAAAGAUUGCAAGGCCAAUUUGCAGUGCGUUGUGCUCUAGAGAAAGCACUGGGUUAUAGAUCUUCCUCACAUGAUACUACAGUUGAAAUUUCAAUGCCCAAGGUAGUUCUUGUGUUCAUUUUAUGGGAACAGAUAGGCAAAUUAUUUUGCCUGAAUUUAAUAAUGAAUUAUUUAGAUGGUUCAAUGCAUUUCUUUUUUGUUCCAAGUCUUUCAAUUUUUAUGACUAGCAUAAAAUAAUCAAAAUUGAUGUGUUUUUCCUGAAAUAUUUGUGUUCAAUAGGCUACAAAAGAAUGUUUGUCUGAUUGUGUGGAAGUUUAUGAAUCUUUGUUUUUUAAGUCUUAAACUAUGGUAUUGACUUGUUUUGCUUCAUCACCAUUAUUUCUUUGUGGUUAUAUUCUAACUUUGCUUUUAUUGCACUCCAGCCUGCUAUGGAACUAAUUAAGGAAAUUGCAGUGUUAGAAUUGGAAGUUGUGCAUUUGGAACAGUAUCUUCUUUCACUGUACCGGAAAGCAUUUGAUCAACAAGUAUUGGUACAAUCCCCUUCUGCCACAGAUGCAAGAUUAAGAUCACCUUUAACGUUCCCAAGGGGGGGAGCUCUGGAAGCUUGCAGACCUGAUAUCACAUCAAAAAGGGAAAAUUCAGCAGCUUAUCAUAGUUGUCAAUCACAUGUCAAUCCGAGGAAGGAAUCCAAUGGAAUUAGUGAAGAGAAGAUAUUGGAUUCCAGUGUUCAUCGUUGUCACUCCUCACUAUCACAGCGAUCGGCCUUUCCGACUAGAACUUCUCCUCCAGCAGAAUCUCUGACCAAAGCUAUACGUGCCUGUCAUUCCCAGCCUUUGUCCAUGAUGGAGGUAGGUAACCCAAGUUUCUUACAAUGAUCUUGCAAGUUGCAAUUGUCUUGUUAUGGAGUCUGGCUCUUCCACAUCUGCCAAUCAUGGUGCACCCAAUCAUAGUACUAGGGAUGUGAUCCUCUUCCUAUCAAUAAAUGAGGAGCAUGGUAGUAAUUUUUGUUAAAAUAAUGACAAUAUAUCUCUGAUCCAUGAUGUGGAGUGCUGUGAUUGGCAGCCCACCAGCUGUUACAACGACCAUAGGAAAAAUGCUGGUGAUGGGAAGCUGUAUUUUGGAUGUAUGGUUAUUCUGUAUUGUAACCCAGUGACUUCUGUACAGUAUGCUCAGAAUACUUCUUCAAAUGUAAUCAGUCUGGCAGAGCAUCUUGGAACCCGUAUUUCUGAUCAUGUUCCAGAGACACCUAACAGAAUUUCUGAGGAUAUGAUCAAAUGCAUGUCAGCUAUAUUUUGCAAGCUUGCAGACCCACCUCUGACACAUCAUGGCCUCUCAUCUCCCAAUUCAUCUUUGUCAUCAAUAAGUGCAUUUUCUCCACAAGAUCAUUGUGAUAUGUGGAGUCCAGGCUUCAGGAAAGAUUCAUCUUUUGAUGUCCGGUUAGAUAAUCCUUUCCAUGUUGAAGGACUUAAAGAGUUCAGUGGGCCUUACAGUACUAUGGUUGAAGUGCCAUGGAUAUAUAGAGAUAAUCAGAAACUGGGAGCUAUUGAGCACAUGUUACAAAAUUUUAGGUGCGCCUUUUGAUAUCCCCCACACCCCCACCCAAGGGGGAUCACUUAUUGAUGAUUAACUCCUAAGCACAAUUCAUUUGAUAUCUAUGUUUGCUUGCCAUCCUUAUAAGCUUGUUGAGUUAUUCAAUUACAGAUCACUUAUUUCUCGAUUAGAAGAAGUGGAUCUGAGGAAGAUGAAACAUGAGGAAAAGAUAGCGUUCUGGAUCAACAUACAUAAUGCAUUGGUGAUGCAUGUAAUGAUCCAUCUUGAUUAAACUAUGAAAUUUGCAGGGAUACCUUGUUUAAAAGUUUCUAAUGUGAAAUGAUAAUGAUAAGAGCUUCUUACUCUUUGAACAGGCAUUUUUGGCAUAUGGUAUACCGCAAACCAAUGUAAAGAGAGUGUUUCUACUAUUGAAGGUAAAAGGAGCCCCCAUGAUAUCUUUUAAUUGAGGAAAUUCUGUAUGGAUUUUAUUUUCUCAUGAUCUUGCAUAUUACAGGCUGCCUAUAAUGUUGGAGGUCAAACAAUAAGUGCAGACACAAUACAGAAUUCCAUCCUUGGAUGUCGAAUAUCUCGUCCAGGACAGGUUGGAUCCCAUGCCACUAUUCUCAGUUCAAGAUUUUAAGCUCUUAUGUAUAUUAACGUAUACUUUAAUAUCUUUUGUAUGGCCGUGUAUUUGCUUACAUAUGUGAUUCCCCUGCAUCUGAACGAGUUCAUGAAAUGCUUCUGGGCUUAAAAAUGAAUCUUGUUCAUGUCAACUGUUUCCUUGGGCAGACAUGAGAUCUUCUUUGCAUGUUAGACAAAAGUAUAGUUGUAUUCUUUGCUUCCCCAUUUUUCUUUUUUCCCGGAAUGGGUCAAAUUUAUUUCUCUUGCCAUGGUUUUUCAGAUUGAUCUAGCAAAAAUAACCAUGCAUAUGCUUUCUUAUUCAGUUUUCUAACGUCAUGUUUGUAAUGGAGCUGAUAAAGCAUGCUUCUAAUUGCAGUGGCUUCGCUUGUUACUUUCUUCAAAAACAAAAUUCAAGACUGGGGAUGAACGGCAAGUGUAUGCGAUUGAGCAUCCAGAACCUCUUUUACAUUUUGCACUCUGUUCAGGAAGUCAUUCUGACCCAGCGGUACUUCACUAUCUAUAAUCUGUUCCUUGGUCCUUUAAUUCAAUAAUUAGGUGCUUGUGAAUAUGUUGCAUUGGUGUUUUCUAUUGCUUACUGAAUACUCCUCUUGAUUUGACAAAACUGCUGAAUAACCAAUCUGAUCAGGAAUCCUUUUGAAAAUUGGAAAGAAUGCAACUAUAAUUUAAGUUUGUUUCCAUUUGCAUCUAUCCUUUACACUCUCAUCUUCCCUAGGGGGAGACCCGUGGUACUGCAAUAUCUGCAGUAUGCUUUUGGUUUUUCCUGCUCAAUAGUUUCCUUGACUGUUUGACAGUAUUCCGAGGAUAUCAAUAAUUUCCUGCUAAAUUAAGGGUUUAGCUUUGUAUAUCCUAGUUUGUGAAUUAGGUCAACUCUUUAUGCUAAUCAUCUUCGAUCAUCUUCAGUUUCACUUAAUGCUGGUUUGCUGAUAAAAUAUUGACUAUCCAUGUUUGGGUGGUGUUUGGAUGUUCAUUGGCAUUGUUGGCCUAGUAUUUGCUCAUGUUGAUGCUGUAGCAUAGAGAAAUCAGCAUAAUCAUUGGAAGAAAUAAUGAUGCAUCAAUCAACCAAGUAUUGAGCUGGCUUCAAACAUGUUAGGGAGCGCUAAUAUAUGCUCAUCCUGAAGCAGUAAAGACACUGUGCAACCACAAUCAAUUCAAUAACCCUGGGACAAUGGGACAUUUGACUUUUCCUUAGUACCUCUGGUAACAUCUAAUUUGAGGUUUGUGAAGCACCCCUCUUUUCUUCCGAACAUAGGGCUAAUUUACAAUCUUGAACAGGAGUUUCUAUCUGAUCAGAAAUAGGAUUUACUGUACCGCCUUUACAAGGUUGUGCAUGGAAGUGGUCUUAAAAAACUGCAAAGACUCUUUCUUUUAUAAUGGGCAUAUUUUUUGGAGGCAAGUCUUUUAAAGUGGUUGAAUGUCUUUCAAUAGAGGAAGAAUUAUAGUUAAUAGCCAAGUUAAAACUUUGCAAAAUUAGUAGAUUAAAUGAUAUCAGAGCCAUCCAGCUCUGAAGAAUGUUUUCUGUUGUGAACAUGACAACAGAGGUGCUAUUGAGACGGUUUUUGGGUGUUCAACUUGUGUCUCGUGGAGUUUCUGUGUAAGGGUAUUAGAUGUGUUGAUCGAUUUGCUGCCCUCCUCUCUUCCUUUUUCACCCCUUGCUCUCAGCAAUAAUGUGGUUUCUUCCUUUGGACCAAAACAAGUAAAAAUUUAGGCACAUAAUUUAAACACAAAAUAUAAAUAACCAAGCAACACAACAUAACUGGAUGCAAGAUUCAAAUAAUGACUAUAGAACAUCCUAUUUACUCUUUACUUUUUCUUUGCCAACACUUGUAUUUUUAAUCCUUUUCAGGUUCGUGUCUACACACCUAAGAGAGUACUUCAAGAGUUGGAAUCUGCAAAAGAAGAGUAUAUUCGGGCUACCUUUGGUGUGCGCAAAGACCACAAAAUCCUUUUACCAAAGGUUGUCGAGUCAUUUGCAAAGGACUCACAAUUGUGCCCAGCUGGUGUCAUGGAGAUGAUCCAACAGUCUCUGCCUGAGUCUCUGAGGAAGAGUGUCAAGAAAUGUCCAGCAGGGAAAUCCCGCAAGAACAUUGAAUGGAUCCCUCACAAUUUCUCUUUUAGGUAUCUGAUAUCAAAAGAACUGGUCAAAUGAUUGCUCUAACAGGUCAAUGCCCUAAUACUCAACCUCAUCUGCAUUGUUCCUUAGAUUUUAAAUAUUGGAAAGUUUUUUUGUCUUUCCAUUGUACAAACAAAAUAGAGUAGUGAAACCAGAAAUUGGAGANNNNNNNNNNNNNNNNNNNNNNNNNNNNNNNNNNNNNNNNNNNNNNNAGUUGGAAGCCACCACUUUUUCAAACUGGCCUCUCAGGUACUUGCACUGCCCCAAACCACAUUCCUUCCCCGGUAAUAUCCCAGCUCCAGCUGAGAUCGUCCGCAUUGUCCCCAACAGCAGCGUAUCCUUUCCUGUCACCUCUCUCCUCAUGGCAUACCCCAUUUUCUGUCCAUUGUAGUGCAUUGCCCACGUAGCUGCACUCAAGAAAGGCUCAUUCGAUCUGUCCAAGCCGAGGUCACACUGGAGAACGAUACGGGCAGUACCACACUGCAUUAGACCCGCUAACUCGGACAUGUUAAUAGGAAGAUCAAGGAUGAUCAAAGGGAAGCUGUCGACAUCUUCCUGAAUGCAGAGCUUCACUUUGCUAUUGAUUGAGCAUAUGAUGGUUCCAGUUACAGUGAAAAUUUCAGGUUUGCAUGUGGAGAAGAGUGGGGGAUAGCAGGAGGCCCAGCAGGGAGCAACGAGGGCCAUGAUGGGGCGGAGUAAAUCCCACCACCGCAGCUGCGGCUUGGUAUCAAUGGCAGCUUGGGAAGAAUCAGCAUUCAUGAUUGUUGUUGUGAAGCAACAAUGUGCGUAGGCUAAGGGGGAGAGAGAGUUGAUAAGGAUUAGGAGAAAGUAGAGUCCCAAAAGGAAAUGAGCGCCCAACCGUAUCUUCUGGUUGUUGAAAUAUUUUAGGAGAGUUUGUUAGACACUCGUAUCCAUACAGUUGACAACACAACCUAUGCCCCUCAUCAUGUAUUAGUAUUACCACUCAAAUCCUUCUUACCUCUUUCUCCUAAUCUUUUACACGGCACCUACAAUGAGGCCGCCCGCCCACAGUAUUUUUGGGAAUUCAAUCUUUUUCCUCUUCCAUCUGUGUUCAUAAUUCUCCAUGGGCUGAGGCAAUGUGUAUAAAGUUACUAUGCCUUGAGUAAGAUUAGAGUCCAAAAAGAGCAUUUAUAAGAAGAGUUGGACUGAGUGGGUCUUGAAAAAAGAAAAGAAAAUAAAGGGGAAUUAAACAAGUACAUAUGAAAGCAUUUCAUUUGGCUCAAGUACUGCGGAAAAAUUAUAGGGAUAGAGAAUUAGAAUUUCAAAUGGUUUGGGCCUCUGGAAACUUCAAUUUUUUAAAAAGAUUUUAUAUUUUAAAUUAAAAAUUAUUUACGAAAAUUGUCCUAUUAAAAUUUAAAUUCUUUUCCAAAUUUCUUAAAACAUUUAGAAAGAAUUUCUUUUUUAAAAUUUCGUUUAAAAUUAAUUUUAUUUCUAUUUUUUAUAAAUCCACUUUAAGCCUUUUGCGCCAUUGUUUUCAAAUAGGGUAUUUUUAUCCACUUAAAAACAAAAUCGCUUUCUCUUAUAUAUCAACAAAGACCCACAAAAAGAUUUUUUCUAAAUAAAAUAAAAAAAUCCCACCCUCCCAAUCUACUAAAAAAAAAAAAUCUAUAUCUCAAAUGUCAAUAAAACCCAAAAACUAUUUUUUAAAAUAUCCUUGUCUCCCACUUGAAAAAGAUCUGUAAGGAGGCACUUGCAAUUGGUGGAGGAGAAGAUAACUAUAAUUCUGGAUCUCCAUCCCUAUCUCUCACGCAGAAAUCUAAACGCUUUGUUUGGUCACAAGGAAACUGUUAGGCUCCUCUAUCUGCAGUUUGUAGUAUUGAUGAUGAGGAAUGAUCAAGACAAUCAAAGCUUUAAAAAUCACGUCAAGAAAAGCGCCUACAAUAUAUAUAACUUCAAUUUGAAGGCUAAAGAAAAGAGGCACUAGUAGGGGCUCUCUCCUAUGACAUUUCCAGGAGGAUUGUAGAAACAUAUGGUUAAACUAGCAUCUUCCUUCGCGCACACAGCUUUGGCACACCCCAACUCCAGCGAUUUCCUCCAUACCACCUGUGUGUACACCCCACACUCAUGAUUGGCCACACAGGAGUUGUCAGAAUGGUUGUAAUACUUCUUCUCUCCCACCCACUCCUCAACGGCCAGCCGCGCCGUCAUUCCUGAUCCACUUGCCCACAACUGGUUCCCUCCAUACUUGCUAUUGCUNNNNNNNNNNNNNNNNNNNNNNNNNNNNNNNNNNNNNNNNNNNNNNNNNNNNNNNNNNNNNNNNNNNNNNNNNNNNNNNNNNNNNNNNNNNNNNNNNNNNNNNNNNNNNNNNNNNNNNNNNNNNNNNNNNNNNNNNNNNNNNNNNNNNNNNNNNNNNNNNNNNNNNNNNNNNNNNNNNNNNNNNNNNNNNNNNNNNNNNNNNNNNNNNNNNNNNNNNNNNNNNNNNNNNNNNNNNNNNNNNNNNNNNNNNNNNNNNNNNNNNNNNNNNNNNNNNNNNNNNNNNNNNNNNNNNNNNNNNNNNNNNNNNNNNNNNNNNNNNNNNNNNNNNNNNNNNNNNNNNNNNNNNNNNNNNNNNNNNNNNNNNNNNNNNNNNNNNNNNNNNNNNNNNNNNNNNNNNNNNNNNNNNNNNNNNNNNNNNNNNNNNNNNNNNNNNNNNNNNNNNNNNNNNNNNNNNNNNNNNNNNNNNNNNNNNNNNNNNNNNNNNNNNNNNNNNNNNNNNNNNNNNNNNNNGAGCGGAAUCAGUAAAUUCGUACAACCGAAGGAUCAGAGGGUAAUGGUGGGGAUGGAUGCUUUAGCUGCAAUUUAAUGCUCUGUUUCCUAAGAUCACUCUGAGUAGGGAACACGUGACCUUGUUGACUUUGAUUUAAGAGACUGUGCCCACGUGAACUCUGCACAUGGAAGCAGAGUUGGGCAGCUUGGUGGAUUGGAUUUGCCAAUAAUUUAAUAUUAGUAGAAUGGUCGGAUCCCUUCAUGUUUCCGGGAGUAAACAGUCAAAAUGAAUUGGAGUAAUACUAGUCUCUAUGCAUUCUAUUCGUUAAUGCAACAUUUUUCUGGCUAAUGCACCUUGACUUUCUCAAUAUUCCAUAAUUACCUUCUAUUGUGCUAUCAGCCCUCCCACCCUAAAUUGAACCAAACCCAAGUCAACUUCUAGGGAAACCAGACAACUAUGGAUAUGCGGGAGAUUUGCUUCAGGUACCAUGGGUUUUGCAGCAGGGGUGGAUCUUGGGAGAUGGGGCAGGGACAAAGGAAGGGUUUGAUAAAUCAAGACUGUAAUAUCGAGUUUGAGAUUUCUCAAAUUAUUAAUCAAAUGAUAAAAAAGAAUAGUGAAGAUGUACGUGUUAAAUGAGAGAAAUUUUGAAAAAUUCAAUCAAAAGUUAAUAAUUUGAAAAUUUUGUCAUGUUAAAGGGUGAAAAUUUUAAAAAUAGAAAAAAAAAUUAAAUUUAGAGAGAAAUUUAGUUAUUAAAUGAUUUGAUAUUGGAUUUUCAAGAAUUGGAAAGUGAAUAUAUAGUUCAAAAUUAAUUGAGUUUAAUACUAAGAAAAGUCAAAUUCAAUUUUUGUAGUUGGAAUUAAACCUUAUGAAAUUACAAAAGAUGAAAUGGAAUUAAACUGAUAUUAAGUUGAGAUUAAAUUUGUUGAAAAAUAAUUGACAAAUGGUAUGAAAUAAAUUAAUAUAACCAUAAAGGGCUAAGAAUUUAAUUAGUUGGUAAAUAUUAUAGGUGUAUAAUGUGAUAUUUUUCGGAAUUAAAUUUGAUUUUCAAAUGAAAAAAUUAAAGAUAUAAAUAAAAUAAGAUGAAAUAAAAUUGAAGGAAAUUAUAAGCCUUUAUAUGUAUAUAUGUGGAGACAGAGUAAGAAGGACACGUGGACGACAAGAGGAGAGUUGGAGAAGGGGGAAAAAGAAGAGGAGAGUUUAGGUGUUGGUGGAUCUUGCAGAAUUUGUUUUAUAAAUCAAACGUGAUUUCAUUCUAAGUGAAAAGAUUUUGGAUGGACGGUUGGAUUUUCGGAUUUUGAUACGGUAGUUUGUUUCUAAAACUUUCAUGGUAGAAUUUUUUUCUUAUUAUUUGUGGAAGUUAUAUCUACUUAGUAUAAUGAUGCUUUGCAGACGUGUAUGGUUGUUGUUUUACUUAUUUAUUUUUUAUUAUAUAAAUUUUUAAUUUUUUUUAGUGAAAAAUUAUAUUGGAAAUUAUAAUGACACAAUUCAUGUGAAUGAAGGAGAAAUAUAAAGGGAGAAUUACCAAAAAGGGUGGGCCGAGAAAAUAAUGAGUAUGAAAGCUCACUCUUUUAAAGGAUAAUUUUAUCCUUAAAUAUGUUUUCUAUAUUAUUUAUAAAUAAAUUAAGAUUAUCAAUUAUGUGGGGUUCAUACAUGAUGAUAAGUAUAGGUUGAUAAAUGAUGUGGGACCCAUACAUGAUGAUAAGUACAAGUUAAUAGGUAAUCAACGAUACAUUUUUCAGCUUGAAAAAAUUGUUGUCACUUUUGAACAAUUGAUUGUUUAAAAAUUUGCUAUUUUUUUUUCAAAAAAAUUGAGAUUUUUUAAACAACCUUGUAAAAUUUUUUUUUUUAAUAUCUCAUAAAUAAAAGUCAUAUCCUAAAGUUAUUAUAUCGUUUUAUAGAUAAAACAUACAAUUAAAAACUUUGUUAUCAUAAUAUAAUGAAUAAUUAUUUUUUAUUAUCACUCAUCAAUUUAAUAAUAUAUAAAUAUUCAAUUGACUAACACACACCAAUUAAAUGGAAUAACUCACAAUUAUUCAUUGGGUAAUAUAGCACAUGAAAAAAAUUAAAUAAAAUUAAAUUAAAUUAUGUUGUAAUAUGUUGUAAUGAUAGUGUAUUUAUAUUGUAAGUGUAAUACAUUUAUGUCGUACCUAUAUUUCAUUACAAAAGUAAUAAUUCUAAAAAUGUUUAUUCAUACCCUAUUGGUAUUAACACAUCGUAUUAAUAUAUUAACAAUAUUUAUUUAGUGUAUUGAAAUUAUUUAAUAAUUUUGUAUAUAUAUAUAUAUAAACUACGUAAAUUCAAAUUAGUAUUUCAUUUUAUUUCAGAAAUUAUUUAUGAUAUAAGUAUGUUGUGAAAUAUGGUAUGAUCAUACAAAAUUACCAUUUUUGUAAAAAAUUUCAUAAAUUUCUUAAUUAGAUUUUAUUGUAAUGUAAGUGUAUUUAUAUUAUAAUUAUAACAUAUUUUUGUUGUGCCUGUAUUUUAUAAUAAAAGUAAUAAUCUUGAGAUCGGAUCACCUUUUAUACCUUAUUAAUAUUCAACAUAUCAAUAUAUUAACAUCAUCCACUCAAUGCAUUGAGAAAAAAAUUAUAUGAAAUUAAAAAAAAAAAAAAAACUAUGCAAAGGAAAAAAAAAUCNNNNNNNNNNNNNNNNNNNNNNNNNNNNNNNNNNNNNNNNNNNNNNNNNNNNNNNNNNNNNNNNNNNNNNNNNNNNNNNNNNNNNNNNNNNNNNNNNNNNNNNNNNNNNNNNNNNNNNNNNNNNNNNNNNNNNNNNNNNNNNNNNNNNNNNNNNNNNNNNNNNNNNNNNNNNNNNNNNNNNNNNNNNNNNNNNNNNNNNNNNNNAAUCAAGUGAAGUGCUUUAAAUGCUUGAAUUUUAAAAGUUUUAUUUAAAGGGCAGUUUUGGUAUAUUAAGCCUAUUAAAGUCCUCUCCAAGAAUUAUUAAAAGAUACCACCCUUUCUAGUAAUUGUUCUACCCAGCCUACCCUUUUGGAUAAUUCUCCCAAAUAUAAAUUGUGCUAGGAAGAUAAAAUUGAAAUUUAUUAGUGAUAUAUUAAUGUUGAAAACAAUGGAAAUUAAUUGUUUUAUAUUAUUAGGUAUUAUUAUUUGAGUUGAGUUUCUGUAAUAAUAUUUUUUUGCAUUCAUUUUGUAUUCAUGUUUAUAUAUAUAUAUAUAUUGUGAAACCAGGGUUUGGUUAAUCUUGAUUUUGAUGAUAACAAAAUAAGGUUUAGAACUAAUGAUCAUAUUUCAAGUGUGAUUAGACAAGACGACUUCCAAAGUGGCAAUCCAAAGACAAAUCAAGCCAAGGAAAAAUCAUGAAGAAGAAGACCACCUCAAAGAGAAGAGUUUUUCAAGACCAAAGCUUCUUAAGAUCUCUUUAUAAGGUUGUUGGUGCACUAGGACUUUCAUGCAUUUCAUUCUUUAUUUAUGCACCAAAAUCAUCCAAGAGUAAUAUUGUUUUAAAUAUCUUAAGAAUUGAAUGAUUUCAUGUUUUCAACUAAAAUCUUGUGUUAAAUGAUUUUCAAACUUGUGUUAAAAGGUUUUAAGUUGAAAAAUGUUGAGUGUUGAGCCAAAAAAAUGGCUCAACCGGAUCAACCGGUCAACCGAUUGUGCUCGUCCAGUCGAGAACCGGUUGAGGGAGGCCAAAAAGUUUCUCUCUCUCCCAGUGGCCUUCUCUUCCCGGUCAAGGUUGAACCUCAACCGAUUGAGGUCCGGUUGAGGCCCAACGGUCACUUUUCCUAACGGCUAGUCAACCGGUCUAACCCUCAAUGGCUAGUUUGACUUUUUUCUUCUAUAAAAAGGCUCCAAACUUCAUUGUUUCAUAAGUUAAACCUUCCAAAAUCUUUCUUGAUUAUAUUUGAGCCUUGGAAGAGUAUUUUUGAGUGCAUCAUUAUUCCAAAACUUGCAUAUCUUUAGUGCACCAUUCAAUCCUAGUUUUUCUUGUAUCAUUUGAACUUAAAGUUCUUGUGUUAAGAUUUUUGAGAGAUCAUUUUAUUUGUAAAUCUUUGAGAGGAAUUUUCUCAAGUGAGGGGUAACACUUGAGAGGUUGUUCAAGAGUAGGAUAACUCUUGAGAAGUGCAAAGGGUGCUUGGAGCCAAAAGUCCAAGAGGGUGAAUUGGAACCAUAAUCCAAUUGUAAAGAGAUUGGAAGCUUGGUUGAAACUUCAAGAUAGUGGAACCCUCACUCGGUUAGGAGGUUGAGGAGAGUGGACGUAGGUAAGGAAGUGCCGAACCACUAUAAACUCUCGUGUUUGCACUAUCUCUUCCCUACCUCUUUUAAAUUAUAUGCAAUUGUAUUUAUUUUGUUUAUUAUAUAUUUGCAUAUAAUUGUCUCUUAUUUUUGCAUAGUUUAAAUUUGUGAAAAAGAGACCAUCACCCUAUUUACAUUAUAUAUGCAUUUGGAUAAAUUUUUUAUAUAAAUUGAUGAAAUGACAUCACUUGUAUGUUUAAAUAUAUUAUUAAAGAAAAAAAUGAUUUAUUUAUUUUGUAUAAUAAAAUUAGAAAGUUUGAUAUGAUAUGUAUGAUUAAAAAAAAUGAUAAUCUAGAUUGAUUUAAUUUUGUAUGUUGAAAUUUCAUUUAAUGUAUACAGUGUAAAUGUAAUAUUAUUAUAUUUUUGGUAUAUGAUGGUAUUGUAUUCAUGUAAAAUUUUUUACUCUUUUAAGUGCAAGACAGUAUACCUUGCAAUGUGGAGAUGAUUAUCUAUUUUUUUUUACCAGUUUUUCCUUAAAAAAUUUUAGAUGUAAAUAUAGUUUAUAAGAACCACAAGAAAACUGGGGAGAGUUCUAAUAAGUCCCAUAAAGUGAAAGAACAACUUAAAUGAUUGGUUUUAACCUAUAUUAAUUUUUUUGGUAUGUGCUAAUUUGAAUUAUAUGGAUUUGUAUAUAUAUAUAUAAUCAUAUGGUAAAUUGUAGUUUAAUAAACUUAUUUGAAAUUAGAUUUCAAUUUAUUUAAGAAAAAUCAUGUUAUUAUGGUUGUUAGCUUGGAUAAGGGUAAUCCUUAAGGUUAAACCUUUGACUUGGGGUCACAAGUCAAAUUCGAGUCAUGACAAUGUAGUAUUAGAGCUCUAGGUUGGUUGCGACAAUACGUAAGCUUAUAUUAGUAUGUUUGAUUUAUGGUUGUUUAGUUGUGACUCUAGUACUUGUAGUGAGAUUGUUAGGAUAAUAAGAUUUGUACGACUUUAGAGAAUGACAUACCCAUUCUAAUGGGAGAUUCAUUAUAACACACACACACACACACACACACACACACACACACACACACAUUUGUGACUAUUAGAGGGCAUGGUUGAACGGAUCCUUGCUUCAACAUUUUGCGAGCCCUCAUAAACUACUUUAAAGUCUACUUUAUACCCUUGAACCUAGGGCUAUAUCAUAAAGUAAGGAAGAUGUUGUUACUUUAACAUGCAACCCAAGGAUCAUGAUUAAUAUGUCCAACAUAACAUGUUAGGAAAGCGGUCAAAUCUAAAUGGAUUAACAUGGGUGGUUAGGGAAAAAUGCUAAUAACACACCACUAUUUGUAGCUCAUAAUCUAGCAAUCAUAUUAACUUUGUGUUCAAUAUAAUUAUGAGUACAAAUGUGUAUAUAAAUUGGGGUUACAUUUUUUAAUUGAGAUAUGAAUCAUUGAGGGGUUUUUAAAAGUGUUUGAAUUAGUGUGAUUGAUAAGUCUAAGGUAUAAACAAGAUAUUUUUUUAGUGAUGUGUUAUGUUAGUGAAAUAGGCACUUAACAUAAGCACUCCAAUUUUAUGUUAUAUGCUCCAUUUUCUAUAUGAAGAAAAUGACCCCAAUGUAAGAUAGAAAAAAGAUAUAGACAUUUUAUCCAAUGUGGAUAAUUAAGAGAUAUUAGAAUUUAAAUAUAUAUUUUAAAAAUUCAUUGUGAAUGUGUAUGUCAUACAACAAGGACGUUGUGUCUGCAUAGUAGGGUGUAUAUGAUAUUCCAUAUUGGAUAGGAGAAAAAAUUUCUUACACUAUAUAAGUAUGGACUCUUCUUAAUUUUGUAGACUCAUUUUAAAGUCGUAAGAGCUCCUUAGGUCUAAAAAGGAUAAUAUCUACAUGGUUGAGUAUGAGUCAUUAUAAAUAGUAUCAAAACCGAUUUUCGACCCUGGUGUGAGAGUUUGUACAUUUGAUCUCGCGAAAGGUGUUUGUUUGUUUGUUUUCGUAAUCCCAUGAAAUACAAUAAGGAUGUUAUGUCUUUAUUUGUUGGAGGAGGAGGAGGAGGAGGAGGGGGGAGGAGGGGCGUGAUUAUGAUGUCCCACAUCAGAUAGAAGAGAAAGUUUCUAACGCUAUACAUGUAUGAGCUCCUUUUAAAUUUAUAAACGUGUUUUAAAGUUGUGAAAACUCUUUUGGGUUCAAAGCGGACAAUAUUUACAUGGUUGAAUGUAGGUAAUUAUAAAUAGUAUCAAAGCCGAUCCUUGACCUUAGUGUGAGGGUUUGUUUGGCCUGGUGAGAGGUAUUUGUUUGUUUAGACUCGUAAUCCACUUGGACACAAUAAGGACGUUGUGUCAGCAUGAAGAAGUGUUUGUGAUGUCAUACAUCAGAUAGAGGUGAAAGUUUUUGACGCUAUAUAAGUGUUAGUUUCUCUUAACUAUGUUGACGUGUUUUAAAGCCGUGAGAAUACCUUUAAAUUUGGAAUGAACAAUAUUUACAUGAUUGGAUAUAGGUUGUUACAACAUCACUGCACAAAUUCAUGAUUGCACAUGGAUUAUAAGAUCGAGUAACUGUCAAAAAAAUAAAAUGGAAGAGUUGAUAAACAUUUUGUGAUGAAAUGAUUAUAAAUAAAAUCACCAAGUGCAUAACUGUUGUCAUGUGAUUGUUGAAAUAUUAUAGAAUAUAUGACCAUUAAUCUUUUAUGAAUUACCUUGUGAAUACCAGGCUAACCAGAGAAGCACAUUACAAGCAUGAUCCUUAGGCUAGUUUAUUGCUUAUCUAUCAUUCUUUGGCUUGUUUGUCCAACAUAUUUGUAUACAUGCAAUAUUAUAGGAUAAGGGUUCUCUUCUAUAAUCAUAUAGUUUAACUGGCCAUCAUAUAUGUAUAUACAUAUAUAUGGCAUGGCAUUUGAAGACAGAAUUAUUUAAAAUAUGUUACUAUCCAAGGGGAGAGAGUUAGGGGCUCUCCCCUAUGAUCAUAUAUAUAUAUAUAUAUAUAUAUAUGAUUAUCUCCUAGUAGGGGCUCUGCCCGUAGUAAUUUCCAGGAGGAUUGUAGAAACAUACGGUCAAACUGGCAGUGACAUUCCCGCAUACAGCCAUCGCACACCCCAACUCCAGCGACUUCCUCCACACUACCUGUGUGUAUGACCCACACGUAUGAUUUUGCGCACACGAGUUGGCAGGAUGGUUGUAGUACUUCUUCUGUUCCACCCACGACUCCACCACCAGGCGCGGGCUCAUUAUCCCUCCGCCUACCCGAAGCUGGUUCGCUCCAUAUUGACCUCUCUUCAGGUUUGCAAAUUCGCAACCUUGGUUAUCUCUUUGAUAACGAACCAAUAGGCUCGUCUCAUGGGCCAGCUGCUCACUCCAUUGGAGAGGACCCACCCCCACUUGGGCUCUUGCUUGGUUGUGCGCGUCUAGGUACUCUUGGGUUGGAUUCGGUGCUCUCUUUGCUACACCAUGGACUGAGAAGUGGGAUAUGACUAGAGCCACAAAUGCAACAGAAACCAAACCUUCAAUCAUUUUUGCGACUAGUAUGGGGUGUGGUCAAGUGUUUGAUUGGAGUCCCUUAUUUAUACACAAGAUUGGGUUGUGUUGGGUUGGGUUGGGUUGGCUGACUUUACCAAUGUGUCCUUGAUAAAGGUCGAUUGCACAAAUUGGAGGGUUUAUUUCAUCGAAUUAAUUGUGCAGCGUGGGUUAAAGAUCAGAUUGUACUGCUAGGAAUGGUGGGUGGACAUGGUGUGUCUCUGUGUAUUUUAAUGCUUUUAUCCUAAAAUCUGGAAGCCUGGUUACUCCUUUAUCAAAGAACCUGACCUUGUUCACUUAGAUUGGUAAGGAGAUUAUGCUCACUUAUUAUGUCUUUACUCAGCACAUGGGGUCAGAGCUGGACAGGGCAGGUUGGUGGAUUCACUAAAAUUUGUCAAUAAUAAUUAUAAUGGUUAAACCCCCAUUCCCUCAGUCUAGCUGAUUGGAAGGGCUUAAGAUUAUGAAGAGAAAAUGGAUUGGUUUUGGGUUCAGAUAGUUUCUUCAAUCCUUCAUUUUUGUUGUGCUCUAAAUCUACUUGCAGCAUCACCAGAGACUCCAAACCAAAGCUGAAAUGAUGAUUUUUCAUGUUGACUAGGUUACUGAUGAAGACGUGCUAUGUGAAUUUUGUUUGACUAUGAAUUCUCCCUUUUAUUUCGUCAGUUUUUGAGUUAGUUCUUGGAGAGUGAGAUCGAUUUUGGAAACCUCAACUUGAAUGAGUUGCAUGUGCGAUAAAGCCAAACGCAUUACUGAUGAAUUAAGAACAGUGAACAGGCUUUUAAUGAUAAGCAGCAUGGUCAUUUGCCCACCAGCUCAAAUUGAUAGAGGUUAAAGUUAGCUUUUUGGUGUUGGGGGAAUUGGAUUACUAAGAGAACAUAUGAAAAAGACUUGUCCAAAAAACCAAAAAAUGUAGUAAUGUCAUCACACCCAAGGCAGAAGUCAGUUUUUGUGGUAGAUGGGGAUUUGCCUUGUUCUUGAUUUAAUAUUUUGCAAACAUUCCUAUUAUUGAAUUCACCCAAUAGUUUAUGGGAAUAUUCAUUGCCAAAAUCACUUAAUAGUUGAGUAAUCACCCCCUAAAACCGAUUAUGUAAUAUACUUUUAUUUGCUGGGUUAUAGGAAGGCAUUUUGGCUGAGAUUUCUAUUAGAUCAAUUUAUUAUUGUGUGGUUUUUGUUGAAUCAUAUAAUCGAAAGGAACUAUGUGUGAUUUUUAUUGAAGCAUAUACUUGAGAGGCAAGUACAAAGCCGACAAUUUCCAAGCCGACAAUUCCCAAGCAAACCCCAAUUUCAUUAGAUGGAGAAGAUCACCAAGAUUGAUUUGUCUAACUUAGUCCAAUUCUAAGAUCUCCAAUAUAAUCCAUAUAUUAAAAUCAUUUGAUUUCCUACAUAUAUAUAUUACCUCCAUCAAGUUUAAACCUUCCAUUAUAGUAUGUAAAACUACUCAUAAGUAGGAUUGAAGAAUUUCUUUUUUCAUCAAAUCUGUUAAUUAGGGGAGCAUUUAUAAAAAUUUAAAACCAUAAAUUACAGAGCUUCAGCCAUUAUUCACUCUAUUGCAGCUAAUGGCAUAGCUGAUCAAUUUUAAGGACAGGGGGCACGGUUGUGAAGAAGUGAUAAGCUCGGUUGGAGGCCCCAUAAAAGGGUCUGCACAGGCCCAUAUGUGGCGGAGUGGAAUCUUAAUAGAAAGAAGAUGAUUUUUGUGUAAAAGUCAUUUAUGCUUUAGCUGAGUAUAUAAUCCAUUUGUUUUAAAUUUUGAAAAAUAUGCUUUAUUAGAAUGUUUUGAGGGGCAACCUUUUGAUUUUAAGUGGGAAUUGUCUUCAUUUUUUGGAAUUUGCCCCUGUGCUUGCAAAGGAAAUUGGGUAGUGGCUCCAUCAGUGAGAGCAAUGCACUAAGUAAUUUGUUCUGUUUUUUUGCAUCAGAUCAAUUUAUCCAAAUAAUCGUUUUCAUUUUUCAACAGGAGUAAAUCAUGAAUCAAAUGGAUUUGUAACAGGACCCCAUCAAACAUUGAAUUCUAAACCCAUAAUUGAGACUUCGGUUUCUACACCACAGGCCAAGCAACCCAAACCUCUUUUAACCUGUACUUCGGUCUUGAGAUUGUACAAUUUUGUCGAUAUUAAGGUCCCAAUCUUCGGUGGGCACGCUCACCAAUCAGGGUCCGUCUUUUCAACCAGCUGGACUCUGACACCCAGUGCCCGUCCUCGGCAACUGUGCUUACACCGUACAGUACCAGAGUCAUCUGAGAGUGAAGGAUGAUCGUUUACCAAGAGUAGAGCUGGCCUUGAUGGCGAGAGCACACAGGUCAGAAAGGGACAAUGGGAUGCGGGCCCGAGAAAUCGGCAUGAGGAAGUAAAUCUGACCUGGCUGUAACAGCUCCUCCUCAGGUAACUGGGGCACGCAUGACCCAAUGAACAUGGACUCCGAGUUGCAGAUAAAGCAGCCCGGAUUCUGGGAGGUGAUGUUUCUCGCUCUGAUGGGCUGCUUGAACUCUUGUAUCUGAUCACCGUCCACAUGGAUGACCCUGGCCUUGGCCUUCACACCAUCUCCUCCUCCGCGUCCUCCACCAUAUGCCUUGAGAGUCUUUGUAUUUUGAGUGGAAGAACAAGCACCCAUGUCACAAGUCAAUGUCACUCUGUGUGCGUUUGUGUGUGGAGAAAGAAGUUUAAUUUAAAAAGAAGGGCUAUAGGCAUAAAAUCUAUUCCUAAUAUGAGGAAAAAGGAGGGAGUCCUCAUUCCUCACCUCGAUGGAUACGAGUGUUGGAGUCACGCUAAUUUAAGGAAAGGUAGGCAUAAGAAUAAUGGAUUAUGAUUUGAGCCAUCUCAGGCAAAAGGAUAAGGGAGCACUAGCUUUAUCGUAUUUUUCACGGAGUAUGCAAUGCCAUAUCAUCCUUCUUAAAUAUUUAUCUUUGGAUGAUUGUAAUCAUUAAUGGUAUUAAAAUUUUCAAAUUAAUAUAUUUCAAACAAGGAAGCUCUAAAACAUGGGAUAGAUAAAUUUGUAUGAUUUGUCGGUGAUGUGUGGCCAGCAGAAAUCUGUAAUUCACAUCACUUGCCUGCAAGGCAUUAGCCAAUUGAGGAAUCAAAGUCUACAAAUCCUAAAACAUUGGCUAUGGAGGAGGACCCAGUUAUAUUACCUUAGCAGGGUACCCAUCCAGCACAAGAGUUGCUGUUUCAAAUUCAAUGUAAGGAAUUUNNNNNNNNNNNNNNNNNNNNNNNNNNNNNNNNNNNNNNNNNNNNNNNNNNNNNNNNNNNNNNNNNNNNNNNNNNNNNNNNNNNNNNNNNNNNNNNNNNNNAAACAUAUAUUGACAAUGAUGUGCUCUUAUGCUCUCUCUAUCACCGUCUUCUUCAUUUCUAACUGUAAGGAGAGAGUUUAUAUGAACCACAUUCUCGAUUUGACCAUCGCAUUCAAACAGCUUUCAGCUCAUGGUCUUUGAAAAUUCGAAAUUAAAAUCCCUCAAGGUGCAGAUACGUCCAGCCAAGAUUUAAAUAUGCCCUUGCUUGUGGCUCUUCCGAGGGGUUGAAACUGGUCAAGAAGGUGCAGACAAGUUCGCUUACUAAAGUCUCUCUGUAAUUGUAAGUACCUGAAAUUGAACCAAAAUAAUUUUCAUAUGACAACCCAAUUCCAUUUAAAUACUUGGAGUAUAUUGUGAAGAAAAUGGAAGGAAAUUUCAUGACCUUUUGAACAGAACCCUGUCGAUGAGAACAAUGGACCAGAUUGCAUGUGCUUCAAAGAAAGGUCCAAGGUCAAAAUGGGCAACAGAAGACCCAGUGUUCAGAUUCCCUCCUUUUUUUUUUUUUUUUUCCCCCCUUUUUCCUCGUCCUAGGAAUAUUAAAUUUAUUACAUCUGUCUUCUUCUAAUUCCAUGCCCAGGAAACAGCCCCUCACGACUUUCAUUUAUGGACUAAACAUUGGAUAGUCGAUCCAUCUAUGAUGAAAGAUAAUCAGGAAAACCCCUUUACACGGUCAGAUCAACAGGUGUUUGUUGAAAAUAGGUUGCCGUAGACACUAUUUGGCUGAGGCAAUUGCUUUCAUGAGCUUGGACCAGUUCAUACGAAAAAAUCUCUGGUCUUUAUUCUCUAAGACAUCAAUAAUUGGCGGCCAUGUUCAUAGUACUUAUCUGGUGGUAAAUAAUACUGGAGUGAGACUAGGGUCCCUGGAAUAAAAAAGGGUUAUAAUGACAGCAUAAUAAAGCACAAAAAAAAACAAACUUGAUUUGAUGAGAGAUAUUCCAUGAGUUUGCAAGUGAAAAAGAUAAAAAUGUUGACGUGGUUGUCAACCAAAAAAGCUUGAUUGAUCGAGUGUGGCCAAUGAGGAAGAAAUAGGUGCAAGAAAGCUUUGCUGAUAAAGCCUUGGGUGAAGGGGGGAAGAAGUUAAUUAUGGGAGACCUGUUCAUGGACCGACACCAUGAGUCGGCAUUCGUACUUGUUUUGGCUCAUAGAGUUGGGCCUCACAGCAUUGUGGCCAUGCACAGUAAAUAUGUCUCGCUCUCGAGCAAUAUCCUCAGAAAACCAGAUUCAUGUGUUUGUAGAGGGACUACAUCCACGUGUUCAUAGUUCCCAAAUGUCUUAAGAAAACUAAACUGAAAGAGAAGUUUGGUUAACAUCAUGUAGGACCCCUAAUGUUAUGGGCAGUGCAGAGGAAUUCAAGAUGGCCGGCCUAUCAUUGCAGCCAUGGGCACAUGCAUUUAGAAAAAUCUACCAGAACAUUCUGGCUAAAGAUUGGCUAGUUAGUUGGGCCACAGGUCAUUUGAUAAUUCCAUGAAUGAUAUUUAAUUCACAAGCAUUCCAAAAGGUAGAGAAAUGAUUGCUACUUUGCCCUAUGUAUUUUCUCUUCUUUUCUUUUGGGGUAUGCUAUAAAGCUCCAAACUGUUGGCGGUGCAUUUUCACAAUGGCAAUGCCCCAAAUAUGUGACUGCAAAUUUAUGCAGAAAUAAAAAAACGAAGUCAUGAUCAUAAGGGAAAAAAAGCUCUUGACAAAUAGAAGAACAAAAUUACAAAUUCGAUCUGAAAUUUAAAUUGGUAGAACACGACUGGUUUAUUUGUUUUAUAAUAGACAAUGAAAGCAAGUCAAAGUUAGGAUGCGAUCACCAGCUGGAUCCAAAGAGGUGUAAUAUUUAUGUCAAGUUAAUGUAAGCCAUGAAUAUUGAAGCAACUUGGAGAAACGGGUGGGGUCGAUGCUUGGAACCGGGGAUGAAGAUUUGCCAGAAUUUGAAAAGGCUAUGUCACUCACCUAUUCUUAAGUCUUAACAUCUACAGAACGUAGGUCCCUAAUGCAAUCAAGGAACUCAUUGGAAUCUUUUCUUCUCUACUACAGACAUUAAUAUAAGAUUUUCGGGGUGAACAGCAGAAAAAUAUCCUUAAAGAGUUCUUAACCACCAAGUAAUGCUACUCAUUUCCCAACAGUCACAGUUACUUUUCCACGUGGUUUAUUGGAAAGUUCUCUAAAUUUCAAGUGGAAAACAAUUUCAUUGAUAAUUUGACCCAAAAGCCAUAACAAAUGGAAAAACUAGCAAGUGACGCACAUUUUAGUUGUACUUUUGACUGGGGUGUGAUUAAUACUCCCUGUGUUCUUAAAUGAAACAGAAAAUUCCCUCUUAGAUGUUUCGCUUAUGGUGUGUGCUUGUUGGUAUCUUCCCGGCAUCCAUAACUAGAUCUCUCCGUUCCCACUGCAAUCGUUUUUCUGAAUUGUUUUAGUCCAAGAACACAGGAUAACAUAUAUAUAAUAUUAACCAUGAAUGAAAAGAUGAUGUUAUCUUUAUUUCAUGCCAUACAAUUCAUGAGGUGAUGAUGGGAUAAACAGUCGACAGCUACAACUUUUGAUCACUUUUUCAACCAUUCAACCCUCUUCGUUGUCCUUGUUGUUGAUGUUCCUGCUCUCUAGCCACUGAUUUGGACGCAUCCUGUAUUUAUGGUCAAGAGAAGAUGGGUCAUUAACACCCAACUUUAUCCCAUUCGUAAUAGGUCAUUUGAACUUUCAACUUUUCAAAAAUCUGUCCCUUUAUAGAGCAGCGGCCAAAAGGUGAGAGUGCGCUGAGCCUCGGUACCAUUAUAAUUGCCACCCCACAAAAGGAGAGAAUCUCUCUCACCCACCUCCCGCCUCUGGAUUUCUCGAACAUAGCACCAACCCACAAAUUAUUUGGUUCUACAUUAAAAUGUGGGGUUGUGAAUGGCCCCAGCCCCCAGGCACUCAAGUUGAAGCUCUUCUUUCCCACACGUUUUUCACUUGCAUGGUUAAAACCAUGGCCGUGCCGCUCAUCUCUGUUUCUCUUCCCAGUGCCAAAAAAAACUCGCAUUUUAACGGAGCAUUGGAUUCUCCCAACCAGCUUUAGUUUCAUGAAUCAUGGAGCGCUAGAGAGGAAUUUUUGUUCACAGAUUCCGCAUAAUCUGAUUGCAUAUGUUGGGGGGCAUUUUUAUACUAUACCCACGUGAUGAUUUCUUUAUUAAUGGAGCUGCAACUUGGAUAAUCGCGGGAUCACUGCUCCCAACAUUAAAUUAUCUCAUAAAUCUCCCACUACUUAACUUUUUGUUUGUUUAUUUCUUUUGUCAAAUGUGGAAGACAGUUUUCAAAUUAAGGUGACAAAUUGCCAAGUUGAAUUGAAGGGCAUUGCUGUUUGCACUUACUAGUUAACAGUAUCGCAACCGCCGUAAGCAGGUGCACGUCAUGUCUAUUGGUUCCAUCUGUUCCCUAACGAAAACUGCAAGUGUCCAAUGUCCAUGACCCACAAACAAAACAUGGUCAUAUAUGGACCAAUCCAUGCAAAACCGCAUUUGGGUAGGGUGCAGCCGUGCAGGGCAAAUACGCCCCAUCUCCAACCACUCCCAAGAUAACAAUCCAUCGCUCUAUCACAUGGGGUCUCCAAAUGGUACAAAAUUUAGAACACAUUAUUUCCUUUUUCAGCUUAUGCAUGCACUAUUAAUUGUGAGAUUCGAACGUAAAAAUAACACAAAGAAAAAGAGAGCGGCUCAUCAUUCAAUGGGUUAAUAGAUUACAGCUGUAAAGAAAAAAAUCUCAUCAUACUCAUCAUGUCUUUAGCUCUAACCGAACCCCACACGCCGCUCUCUCAUUCGCCAGCUCCCUGCUGGGGAUGCUCUGCUUGCUUCCCGUUCGCUCUUCCUCUUCUACCUACGCUUCCGCGUAAAAUGAUUAACAUCGACCCUCCCGUAACCCUAAUCCCCCCUACAUCCUAAAAUUUAAACGCCCAUUUCUAUAUUCAUAGAAUCAUGUUCAUGCCGAGAAAAGGUCCACACUCAAGACAGUACCAUACAUGAUACAUCUCAUGCUUUCAUGGGCUUCAUUUUUUUUUUUAGUAUUUGUCGUUUAGCUCCUCUCUUAUCGGAAAUGUAUGGAUAAUCUUUUACGCCUUUUGACUCCAAAAUGACACAUCAUCAUCGGCCCUCAGACUAAUGGACAUUAGCAUGUACAUCAGUGUCAGUUCAUUAUUCUUCUAAAGAAUACGAACAAAUUUGACCAAGAAUGUCUUCUCUAUUAAUUUUUUUUUUCUUUUUUUGUAAUUUUUUUAAGCAAAUCCCUCCCGUAACCAAAUUUUCAUUUAAUGAAUGAUUUAAAUAUGAAAAUAUUAUAUUUUAUUUAAUGAAUUAUCUUAGAAUAUAAAUUUGAAUCCCUCGUGUGGCGUGGUUUUGAGUGAUAUCCAUAGAUUUUGAAUGUGAAAAAUGUAGGGAAGUUUCUUGACAUCCAUGGAUUGAAGAUUGGAGAGAGGCGAAACCCAUUUUGGAGGGCCAAAAACCCUGGCACGAAAAUGAAGUAUAUUCUCUGAUGAACGUCCAAUUAAUUACUCACAUUGUCGUUAUCUCUCAUUGUCUUGUUAUUCCAUCGGUCAAAUGGGGAAGGGAAGGCAGCUUCUUGGAUGGAUCUCAUACAGUCAUGCUACCAUCGUUCCAAAUAUUGGUUAUUAUUGUAAUUUCUUUUAGAAAUCCAUGUAGGGGUAAAAUUGUAACAAAACCCUCAUAUGGAUGACAGCCAAGAAAAGGAACAAAAAGAUGGAAAAAGUAAACGGGCGCCAUGCGAAAUGCCCACGGCCGGUCGCCACUAAUCACAGGGUUCGCAGCCAACAAACUAAAGAAGAUGAACCCCGGUCCUUACCCUAUUUACAAUAAUACCACUACGCUCAUUUCCUAAACUACCCAUCUAUUCCGGUAUGGAACUCAAUAAGCGCGCAGAGUUUCUUCUUCCGCCACCGUUCCUCCCUCUCCUCAACCCGCCUUCAACACCACCGCCGGGAGCCACUCUCCCUGACGACUUCGAGUCCUUCUCGCCGGAAAACAUCGCCGGCGAUAGAGACUUUCGGCGACACCGGCAUUUGUCACCGCCACUCUUCAUGAGGGCGGAACUCGCCUUGACAGCCAAUGCGGCCAUCUCCUCCGCCUGAAGCGGUUGCUUCAACCUGCUCAAUGGCAGCGCGAAAUAGAGCUGUCCAGGUUGAAGCUCCUCAUCGUCGUGGAUAGCAGAAACGACGUCGUCAAAGUCCAUUUCAUCGGAGUUACAGAUGAAGCAGGAGGGGUUCUUCUGCAAAACGUAGGAAACCUUGACUGGGUAAGAAAAUUCUUCUAAUCUCCCGUCCUGGAGGAUAAGCUUAGCGGUGGCCACAGAGGUGGCAUCGCAGGAACUGCAAAUACCCAUGUGGUUCGGAGUAAAAUUGGAUUACCGGGCUAAAGGGUUGGAGUCUUGGAGAAGAAAGAGGAUGGGAAGGCAUAUAUAGGGAGGGUGGAGGAAG
rnacentral:lncRNA from 1 species